GUCACUCUCCUAGGCCCACGGUCUUGGUACCAUUAUCACGCGCUACAUUACUUAACGUAACAUGUAAAUAUAGGAUAACAUACCACAGCGCACUCUUACCUGCAACAAGCACUAAGUGUAGCAUUAUGUCAACUCGCUAAGUGUUUACUACCAUAAACAAAAAAUGCUUUACUGCUCUCUACUGUGCUAAGGCUACUGAAGUGUGGCAUAAGAGGGCUGUCGUGACGCAGUACCUGUGUCCUUUUUUUUAUCUGUUCUCGCUUAUGUUGUCUUUGUUUUGUUUUCUUAUGCUCUUUGGGCAAAACGGAGCUACCUCCACCCAAGAAAAUUGCUACCGGUACCCAGUGGCUCACUUACACUAUGGUUCAGCAUAACAACUUAGCAUGUCUAUAUUAGCUAACAGCUCUAUGCAUCUCCUCUUACU